UACGUAGGGUGCGAGCGUUGUCCGGAAUUAUUGGGCGUAAAGAGCUCGUAGGCGGUGUGUCGCGUCGGCCGUGAAAACCUGCAGCUUAACUGUGGGCUUGCGGUCGAUACGGGCAUCACUGGAGUUCGGCAGGGGAGACUGGAAUUCCUGGUGUAGCGGUGAAAUGCGCAGAUAUCAGGAGGAACACCGGUGGCGAAGGCGGGUCUCUGGGCCGCAACUGACGCUGAGGAGCGAAAGCAUGGGGAGCGAACAGG
rnacentral:rRNA from 1 species